AGGAAAGUCUGUGAGACUUUAAUCUUCAAUUAAAAGCUGAAAGUAGACCUGUGGCUUAAGUGAUAAGAGUGCCAGCCUUGAGUGGAACCACUAAGGGACCGCACCAAGUCCUGAGUUCAAGCCCUAGUUCUGGCAAACAAACAUCCACACAAAAUACUGAUGCCUGAUCCUGUAUGACAGGUAUCAUAUGUCAGCAAGAAAACACACAUGCUUUCCUGUACUUAGAUGUGUGCUUGUUUUCAAACAUUCCUUCCCAUACAUAUACGAAGUAAAAGAAGCAUGUUUUCCAGUAUUUACUACUUUCUUUUGCUAAGAUUAAUCAGUGGAUGCUGGUGGCUCAAGACUAUAAUCUUAGCCACUCAGGAGGAUGUGACCUGGAAAACUGCAGUUUGCAGCCAGCCUGGGCAGAAGAGACUGUGAGACUCUAUUUCCCACUAGCCAGAAAAAAGUCAAUCUAGAGAUGUGGCUCUAGUGGUAUAGUACCAGCCAAGCAGGGAAGCCAAACAAGCAAGCUGAGCAAGGGUGAAUUCCCAAGCUCAUACCCCAGAACCAUGACAAAAUUAAAUUAAAAAUUCAAAAUCUUAAGUCAUCCAUAUAGCUAACUGUGAAAAUGAUGACCCAGGGGAUUAGGAACUAUAAUAGUCUUAUAGCCACAACAGUGUUCCAACAUUGUGAAAGAGGGAAGACACUGGAGCUACACACAGCUCAGGGCCUGGACGGUGUCCCUAAGCUUCCGAGCUCAGGGCUGGUGCUCUACACUGAGCUCAAGGAUCUCGAUGUGAGGCAACAUCACGACAUACAGCUUCCUUAUACCUAAAAGCAUGGCUGAUAUAAGGAACAAUCAUUCCUAUUUGCAAAGCACUUUAUGAUUUUCAAAAUACUCUCACAUUCAUUAUUUAAUUCAAUCUGCAAAUUAACUCUAUGACAUAUAAAAGGAAUAUUAGCUAGUUUUUAGUAAUAAGUUAAAUGUGUGGGGAAGUGACUCAUUUGAGCCUAAUUGACUAAUUAGUAACAGAAACAGAUUUUAAAAUUUCUCACUCUAAAGUUCAUCUUUUGAACAUAUACUGAUGGUCUUUUUGUCACCCAACUUCCCAUGGAAAGCCAAAUGAUUACUUUGUAACCAUAAGAAAUAUCUACAAUGUAUUUCCAGGGCCUGUAAAAGAGUAUCACAAUAUGCACCUUUAUUUUUAUUUAUCUUUGCAAGAGUGGGGGAUGGAACCUAAUUACACUAAUUACCUAAUUACACACUUACUAGAAGGACAUUUAGCUUUUCUUCAACCUGAAAAACUUGUGCAAAAAAUAAACAUGUAACAUGACCUAUUUAGACUUUACAAAAAAAAAACUCACAAUGCCACAAUAAUCUAAACUUCCCCCAAAUCUGUUCAUUUAACAAAUUU